GCCCAAGAGAUCGGGAUAACACCUGGAAACAGAUGCUAAUACCGGAUAACAACAGAUGAUGCCUAUCAACUGUUUAAAAGAUGGUUCUGCUAUCACUCUUGGAUGGACCUGCGGUGCAUUAGCUAGUUGGUAGGGUAACGGCCUGCCAAGGCGAUGAUGCAUAGCCGAGUUGAGAGACUGAUCGGCCACAUUGGGACUGAGACACGGCCCAAACUCCUACGGGAGGCAGCAGGA
rnacentral:rRNA from 1 species